GAUGAACGCUGGCGGCGUGCCUAAUACAUGCAAGUCGAGCGAACAGACGAGGAGCUUGCUCCUCUGACGUUAGCGGCGGACGGGUGAGUAACACGUGGAUAACCUACCUAUAAGACUGGGAUAACUUCGGGAAACCGGAGCUAAUACCGGAUAAUAUAUUGAACCGCAUGGUUCAAUAGUGAAAGACGGUUUUGCUGUCACUUAUAGAUGGAUCCGCGCCGCAUUAGCUAGUUGGUAAGGUAACGGCUUACCAAGGCAACGAUGCGUAGCCGACCUGAGAGGGUGAUCGGCCACACUGGAACUGAGACACGGUCAAGACUCCUAGGGGGGGCAGGAGUGGGGAAUCUUCCGAAAGGGGCGAAAGCCGAGCGGAGCAACGCCGCGUGAGGGAAGAAGUUCUUCGGAUCGUAAAACUUUUUUAUUAGGGAAGAAAAAAUGUGUAAGUAACUUUGCACUUUUUGACGGUACCUAAUCAAAAAGCCACGGCUAACUACGU
rnacentral:rRNA from 1 species